GGAAUGGUCAAGAAUUACUCCUGACCGUUGUGCACGUCUGAUCUGCAACUACAGGAAACGUUUGGUUGAAGUUAUUGCUGCCAAAGGAGGUUCAACCAGUUAUUAAAUCCAAGGGUUCACAUGCUUUUUCCACCUGCACUGUGAAUGUUUACAUGGUGUGUUCAAUAAAAACAUGGCAACAUUUCAUUAUUUGUGUGUUAUUAGUUUAAGCAGAC